GCAGACAGCGAACUCGUGUUUAACACCGGCGGCGUGCGGCGGGGGCGACCCCGUCCCGCGCUCGUCUCCCUCGCCGGCGUGCUCCCUCGGGUCACGCCGUGCGGGCUAACGAACCCCGGCGCGGAAUGCGCCAAGGAAUACUCAACGGAGCGUCCUCUCCCCGUACCCCGUUCGCGGACCGUGCGGGGGCGACCGGAUGUCUCAAAAAUGUCUUAACGACUCUCGGCAACGGAUAUCUCGGCUCUCGCAUCGAUGAAGAACGUAGCGAAAUGCGAUACUUGGUGUGAAUUGCAGAAUCCCGUGAACCAUCGAGUCUUUGAACGCAAGUUGCGCCCGAAGCCAUUAGGCCGAGGGCACGUCUGCCUGGGCGUCACGCAUCGCGUCGCCCCCCGCCCUGCGCUUAGCGAGUGGUCGGGGAGCGGAAACUGGCCUCCCGUUCGCCUUCGGUGUGCGGCUGGCCCAAAUGCGAUCCCUCGGCGACUCGCGUCACGGCAAGUGGUGGUUGAACACUCAAUCUCUUGCGCCGUCGUGCCGCUGUGUCGUUCUUACGGGUGUCUAUCAAUGACCCUUCGGUGGCGGUGCCUCACGGCUCCACACCUUCGACCGCG
rnacentral:rRNA from 1 species